rnacentral:piRNA from 1 species
UAUCACUCUUGUCAGAACGGUCGUGGU